rnacentral:rRNA from 1 species
GUCCACGCCGUAAACGAUAAUCACUAGAUGUUGGUUCGGCUUAGCUGGAUCAGUGUCGUAGCUAACGCGUUAAGUGAUUCGCCUGGGGAGUAUGGUCGCAAGGCUAAAACUUAAAAGAAUUGACGGGGGUCCGCACAAGCGGUGGAACAUGUGGUUUAAUUCGACACUACGCGAGAAACCUUACCUGGGCUUGACAUGUACUCGACAGCUGUAGAAAUACGGUCUUUUGGGGUUCAUUCAAACGGGUACACAGGUGCUGCAUGGCUGUCGU